rnacentral:rRNA from 1 species
CAAUUAACCCCCCCGAUUUCACAAAACACCCCCUCCAGAAUUCUACUCCCUUACACCGCGCCACCCCGACUUUUGUUUACCGUUUACAACUCUUACAAACAAUUUUUUUUCCGAAAAAGAAACGAGACCUUAACCUGCUAAAUAGCCGGGCCGGCUUUGGUUGGCCUCUGUUUUCUUAGAGGGACUAUCGGCGUUUAGCUGAUGGAAGUUUGAGGCAAUAACAGGUCUGUGAUGCCUUUAGAUGUUUUGGGCCGCACGCGCGUUCCACUGACGGAGCCAGCGAGUCUUUUCCUUGUCCGGAAGGCCUGGGUAAUCUUGUGAAACUCUGUCGUGCUGGGGAUAGAGCAUUGCAAUUAUUGCUCUUCAACGAGGAAUUCCUAGUAAGCGUGAGUCAUCAGCUACGCGUUGAUUACGUGCCUGCCGUAACUGAUG